AUUGAACGCUGGCGGCAUGCCUUACACAUGCAAGUCGAACGGCAGCACGGACUUCGGUCUGGUGGCGAGUGGCGAACGGGUGAGUAAUAUAUCGGAACAUACCCUAGAGUGGGGGAUAACGUAGCGAAAGUUACGCUAAUACCGCAUACGAACUAAGGUUGAAAGUGGGGGAUCGCAAGACCUCAUGCUCAUGGAGUGGCCGAUAUCUGAUUAGCUAGUUGGUGAGGUAAAGGCUCACCAAGGCGACGAUCAGUAGCUGGUCUGAGAGGACGACCAGCCACACUGGAACUGAGACACGGUCCAGACUCCUACGGGAGGCAGCAGUGGGGAAUUUUGGACAAGUGGGGGCAACCCUGAUCCAGCAAUGCCGCGUGAGUGAAGAAGGCC
rnacentral:rRNA from 1 species